GUUGCAUUUGGACUGAACCCCACUUGUCAUCCUUUUCUUUAGGCGAGUGCAGCACGUGACGUAGUAUAUGAUCUUUGUUCAUCCUGGUGCAUAUCUGAUUUUUGUCUCUGUUAUGGACUCAUCAUUCAUUGGCCUGGAUUGUUGCCUACUUUUUGCCAGAACGGGUGGGUGACCAAACUUUUUGUGAACUUGAUCCCCCUCUUAUAUCUAUGGCAUGUGGGACAGGCUACCAUUGGCAAUUCAAAUUUUGUCUGAGCCAUGUUUCCACAGCUGUUUGGUGAGAGACCAUUUUUUGUGAAUGCGCCUGCACUUUGAUCAUGAGUAACAAGGGUAAAGUAGUGGUGUAUGACUAGGAAUCCAAACACAACCUUUUGUUCUCAUCCAGAUAGUGUAAAAGAAGUACACUAUGAUGAUGCAAACCAAACCUUACUGAAUUCCAGUCCGGCACGUACAUGGAACAUGGCAUUGCGCAUGUCUAUAGCAUGAGAUCUGUAUUCAGACGAUCAGAACUUCGACGGCGACCGUAUUCAAAAUGCCUGGAGGAUGGGGGAGACUGAUCUGUGGAGGCUGUAGGCGAUAGCAACCAUGGUCACGGCACUUGGUUCUGUUCAUCUCCACAGAAGAAUAUUUCCAAUGCAACAAAGGGGAAUGGCGGUCAGGUUUCGCGGAGGCUGAAUCUCCGCAAUUUAUUUAUUUAUUUUUGCUUUCACACGGGCCUUCUCAUUUUCUGUGGCCACUUAUGUCAUUUUCUCUGUUACUCCUUCCAUUGCAAAGUUUUGGUGAUGGUA